CCUUCUAUCAACCGUAAUAUCCUUUCGCCAACCGCCGUGAAACCCUCCGACGAAACCUAAAUCACAAAACCCCUUAACCUCCUCCUUCAUCCGCCUCUUCGUCACCGGCGAAACCCCUUCGCAACCCAGCUCCACCGUCAAAAUCAUCACCGCAGAAACCCUAACCUAACCACCACAACGACGCAUGCCAAGCCCUACCGUCGCGAAAUCCAUCUGAUCUACACUCAAAACAGGAAGCCGCAUAAACAUCUCCAUUUACCGCCUCCAUCGACAACAAUUUUUUCUAAUGUUUCUGGGUUUCUCUGUUGGUUUGUUUUAACAGGUUCUAUGACAGAUUCAGUAUCACACAAGGUUUCGGCGAGCUGUGUAACCAUGAUAAUCUUCAACCUGGUGUACGAGAUUAUAUGUCGCGGAUGUGUGGAUGCAAUUAAUGUAGAGCAUUGCAAGUGAUUUAAUUCGAUAUUACAGCAACGACCAACAUCAAUAGCUGGUAGUAUUGAAAAGCCGUAUGUCGGUAACAUUCCGUCGCUCCCUGUUUGCUAACCGAUUCAUGUUUGGUUUACAUAUAUGAGUUUAGAUCUGUUUCUUCUUUUUUGUUAAUAUUGGUAAAAUCUGGGUUUGACCAAUUUGUGUAGAUUGUCAUGAUAUUGGGGGGUCGUUACACUUCAAAUAAUUACAUCACAUUUCUGCCAUGUUGUAAAUAAACUCCCUGUUACUUGUAUAUGCUAACCGAUUCAAAACCCUUUGGAUUUGGUGUUUCUCUGUUCGUAAUAAAACCUGUGAUUUGAGGCUGGAAAUUAAUUUCAAGGUAUUCAAUGAGAAGGACAGCCAUUCAUGACAGUUGAAUGUGCUUGUACACCAUUUUUGUUAA